ACCUGGGUGGCUCAGUCGGUUGAGCAUCUGACUUCGGCUCAGGUCCUUCUCUCGCGGUCUGUGAGUUCGAGCCCCGCGUCAGGCU
rnacentral:tRNA from 1 species